CAAUAGCGUAUAUUAAAGUUGUUGCAGUUAAAAAGCUCGUAGUUGGAUUUGUGGCGUACGGUGUGUUCCGGGCACUUGUUGUCUGAGUAACCUGCUGUUGCCAUCCUUGGGUGGAACCUGUGUGGCAUUAGGUUGUCGUGCAGGGGAUGCCCAUCAUUUACUGUGAAAAAAUUAGAGUGUUCAAAGCAGGCUUAGGCCGUUGAAUAUAUUAGCAUGGAAUAAUGAGAUAGGACUUUUUUGCUAUUUUGUUGGUUUGCGCAAAGAGGUAAUGAUUAAUAGGGACAGUUGGGGGUAUUCGUAUUCCAUUGUCAGAGGUGAAAUUCUUGGAUUUUUGGAAGACGAACUACUGCGAAAGCAUUUACCAAGGAUGUUUUCAUUAA
rnacentral:rRNA from 1 species